rnacentral:rRNA from 1 species
GACGAACGCUGGCGGCGUGCCUAAUACAUGCAAGUAGAACGCUGAAGGAGGAGCUUGCUUCUCUGGAUGAGUUGCGAACGGGUGAGUAACGCGUAGGUAACCUGCCUGGUAGCGGGGGAUAACUAUUGGAAACGAUAGCUAAUACCGCAUAAGAGUAGAUGUUGCAUGACAUUUACUUAAAAGGUGCAAUUGCAUCACUACCAGAUGGACCUGCGUUGUAUUAGCUAGUUGGUGGGGUAACGGCUCACCAAGGCGACGAUACAUAGCCGACCUGAGAGGGUGAUCGGCCACACUGGGACUGAGACACGGCCCAGACUCCUACGGGAGGCAGCAGUAGGGAAUCUUCGGCAAUGGACGGAAGUCUGACCGAGCAACGCCGCGUGAGUGAAGAAGGUUUUCGGAUCGUAAAGCUCUGUUGUAAGAGAAGAACGAGUGUGAGAGUGGAAAGUUCACAACU